rnacentral:rRNA from 1 species
AGUGAACGCUGGCGGUAGGCCUAACACAUGCAAGUCGAACGGCAGCACAGUAAGAGCUUGCUCUUACGGGUGGCGAGUGGCGGACGGGUGAGGAAUACAUCGGAAUCUACUUUUUCGUGGGGGAUAACGUAGGGAAACUUACGCUAAUACCGCAUACGACCUACGGGUGAAAGCAGGGGAUCUUCGGACCUUGCGCGAUUGAAUGAGCCGAUGUCGGAUUAGCUAGUUGGCGGGGUAAAGGCCCACCAAGGCGACGAUCCGUAGCUGGUCUGAGAGGAUGAUCAGCCACACUGGAACUGAGACACGGUCCAGACUCCUACGGGAGGCAGCAGUGGGGAAUAUUGGACAAUGGGCGCAAGCCUGAUCCAGCCAUACCGCGUGGGUGAAGAAGGCCUUCGGGUUGUAAAGCCUUUUGUUGGGAAAGAAAAGCAGCAGGUUAAUACCCCGCUGUUCUGACGGUACCCAAAGAAUAAGCACCGGCUAACUUCGUG